rnacentral:rRNA from 1 species
UAGGGAAUUUUCGUCAAUGGGGGAAGCCCUGAACGAGCAAUGCCGCGUGUGUGAAGAAGGUCUUCUGAUCGUAAAGCACUGUUGUAAGUGAAGAAUGCCAUAUAGAGGAAAUGCUAUGUGGGUGACGGUAGCUUACCAGAAAGCCACGGCUAACUACGUGCCAGCAGCCGCGGUAAUACGUAGGUGGCAAGCGUUAUCCGGAAUCAUGGGCGUAAAGGGUGCGUAGGUGGCACGAUAAGUCUGAAGUAAAAGGCAACAGCUCAACUGUUGUAUGCUUUGGAAACUGUCGAGCUAGAGUGCAGAAGAGGGCGAUGGAAUUCCAUGUGUAGCGGUAAAAUGCGUAGAUAUAUGGAGGAACACCAGUGGCGAAGGCGGUCGCCUGGUCUGUAACUGACACUGAUGCACGAAAGCGUGGGGAGCAAAUAGGAUUAGAUACC